CUAAAAAGUCAAGUGUUUUUUCUGAAGCAGACAUCGAUACAUUUUUAAACAAUGCCCCGAUAGAAUAUCUUCCUCAAAAGGUUGCUUUAAUUAUUGGCAUUUCCGUAGCCUGUAGGUGCGAUGAACUUUUAAAAAUGAAAAUAAGUGACCUGGAUAUUUUAGUAAAUCGAAUUAUAAUAGUGAUUCCUGUCACAAAAACCUACUCUUCCCGUACAUUUGUAAUUACAAAAUCGGAAUGGAUAAAAAUAAUAAAGCAAUACGUAAUAACAUUGACUCUGAUAGAUUUUUUUUACAAAUGAGAUUUGGUAAAAUUACACGACAGCCUUUUGGGCAUAAUGAUAUAGGAAGUUUUCCUAAAAAAAAUAGCAACUUAUUUAAAGUUGGAAAAUGUUAACAGGUUUACAGGACAUUGUUUUAGACGUACUUCAGCAACAUUAUUAGCAAAUACAGGUGGAGACAUCCUACAGUUGAAAAAGUUAGGGGGUUGGAAAUCCAACACCGUAGCAGAGGGAUAUGUGGAGAAUUCAUUACAUGGACAAA
rnacentral:lncRNA from 1 species